GCGCUUUUGCCAGCAGAGCAGGAUUGUCAGAGGAUAUAUACAGCAUUUUGUAAGGUCCAUCCUUAGUGCUUUACCUCCAGGCUUGACAGGGAUCCGUCCCCAGCCCGUCCUCGCCUACUACGAUCGCGAUCGCGCUCUCCAAGUGAACUAAGCCGGACUUCGCCAGCUGAACCAAGCAGGAGCUUUUAAGGAAUGCUCUAAUUUUAUAACUAAUCCCCACAGCCAAACGACCG
rnacentral:lncRNA from 1 species